GGAAGACUGCCGGCUCUCCUGCGGCGCCGGGACUUCAGGCCACCCGCUUCACGGCUUGGCGGGCGUCCCCGCCCUUUCCGCUCGGAUGCAGAAGCCCAGAGAUGAAGCUCGCCUGCGAGGGUAGCCGGGCGCCCCCAGCCACACGGGGGAUAGACUGCCAGACAGUGUCAGUAACGAGUGGGCGUGAGGUGAGGCUCAGGGGGGCCAGAGGAGACAGCGCGGUCCGCAGGAAAGCCUUCUCCCAACAAGAAUCACUUCUUUCGCUUUGUUUGAGUCCUGAGCCCAGGCCCGCAGGUGUGAGGAAGUCCUGCGCCUUGGGGGCCUAUAGGCUGAGCGGCAAGAGAUGAGUUCAGAGUCCGGCCCACGUGCACAGAGGGCCUUGUGGGAGCUGCGCUUUGGCCCCCAGGGCAGUGGGGAGCCCACUGAAAGAUUUUCAGUCAGAGGGAGAAGGUCAGAUGUUUUAGGAAAACCAUUUAACCUGUAUGGUGGAGACCAACAGAGGCCCCCAGGCUGGGUUGGCAGUAGUCUGGGGGAGAGGAUGGUUGUGAUAGUGUGGACAGAAGUGGCAGAUUUUGGAGAUAUUUAGACAAUAAUAUGGAACUUGUUUGGGAAGUGAGAUGUGGAGGUGAGGAGUCCAGGAUGACCUCAGGUGCCUGUCUGGUGACCAGGCAGAUGGAGGUCUCACCCAUCAAGAUGCACAUGGGGAGAAGCAGGUUUGGCGGCUUCUUUGUCCCUAUGUCCAUGUUCCUCUGGGCUGGUCCUACAGCUUCAGUCAUCAUCUUCAAACCCAAAUGCUGGGCCUCUCCCCUGGUAUCCCUUAGUGCCCCAGAUUCUACCUGGCCCAAACCACGCGCCAGCCUCCACCAAAACACAGACAUACAGAAGUUCAGUUAUUCAACAGAGAUUUAAUGAGCCCCUACUAUAUGUCAGACAGGUAAUAGAAAUAUUUAGCAGUUUUUAAAAAUUCCCAGUCUCCUGGGGUUUACAUUUUAGUGGGGAAGAGACAGACAAGGUACUUAAAAUACAUCAGAAGUCAGACGGUGACAAGUGCUAUAAAGAAAAAUAGAGCAGGAUAAGAAGGACAGAGAAUGGUGGACAAGAGUUGCAAUUUUAUAGGGGGAAGACUAGAAAGUGAUGGCUGAGCAAAGACCUAAAGGAGGUCAAGGAUUAAGCCAUGCAGACUUCUGGGUGAAGAGUUUUUCAGACAGAGGGAACAAGGGCAGAGGCCCUGAGGUAGAAGUGUGCCUUGUUUGUUCAGUGAACCAAAAAGCCAGUGUGGCUGGAAUGGAAUGAAUGAGGGGGAAGAAAGAGAGAUCACAGGAGGCCAGAUCACAUACAGCCCUGUAGACCAUUGGCUUCUACUCUGAGUGAAAUGGAAAGUGUUGGCCAGAGAAGAGAUAUGAGAUUUACAUACUGAGACAGUGUUCCUCAACCCUGGCCACAAGUUCGAAUCAUCUGGGGUGCUGUAAAAAUACCUCUAGCUGGGCCCCACUUCAUAGCAAUUACAUUAGAAUAUCUGGGGUGAGGUGCAGACAUAGGAACUUUUUGAGAAUUCCCCGGUAGAUUUUAAAUUGCAGCUAAGGCUGAGGGUGACAGUGUUAGAAGGAUUUCUCUCUGUCUCUUUCUCAGGCGGCUUUGUCCGGAGUAGGCUGUAGGUAGGCAAGGGCAGAGGGAAGUUCUUUCAGAAAGCUAGAUGAGAUUUGCAGGUGGCGUGGACCAGCUGCCAGAGUGGUAGCAAUGGAGGUGGUGAGAAAUGGUCAGUUUCCAGUUAUGUAUUUGAGCCAACAGGACUUGAUGAUGGCUUGGAUAUAGAAUGUGAGGAAAAGGGAAGUCAAAGUUGACUCAGGCUUGGCCCAGGAGACCCUUCACUCUUACUGCUUUGUCAUUUCCUGCCUGCCCACUCCAUCCUGAGCUCCAGGCACUCCAGUUCUCCUCGACUUGUUACCAGUAUAAUCUUGUCCGUUUUUCUGGUGAACUAUGCAUGCUGAAAACCCAGCAAAUGCGCCAAAGUCUUACCAGUCUCCUAAGGCAAACAAGCCCACCUCAGUAUCUACUUGUAACACUGAACACAUUGUAUCAAAUUAUUUUUUAAAGGGUCUGUCUCCACUGCUGAAAUCUGAGUUUCUUGGUAUGUACAAGAAGGAAAAAGCUCAGCUUUGGAAACUGGACAGAAGAGAGUUUGAAUCACAGCUUCCCCAGGUCCUGGCUGUAUGAUACAGAAGAAGUUGCUUCACCUCUCUUAGCUUCACUUUCCACUGACUUGCAGGACUGUUGAGAAGACUGGUAACAAUGUGCAGCAAUAAUAGGGACCAAUUACCACGUGGUCCUUAUUUAUCUUGGUUUUCCAAGAGUCUGACCCACAGGGAGGAUCAAAGCAAAGGUAUUAGGGAUAUAUUACAUGGACGGUGGCCAUGCCAAAUGUCAGGGUUUCCUCCAGCUGGAGGUUCCCUGUGCUCCAGAUGCUGCCUGAGAUGAAGGGUGGAUGGAAAUGCAGCAAGGGCACUGCACUGGGAAGUAGGAGCCUGGGGAUCCAGUGUCGGCUCUGCCACUGGCACUCUGGACCACUCUGGAGGUCCCCCUGAGGCCUUAUUUUACUCUAUUUUAUUUUAUUUUGGCCACACCGUGCGGCUCAUAGGAUCUUAGUUCCCCAACCAGGGACUGAACCCAGGCCCACAGCAGUGAACUCGCAGAGCCCUAACCACUGGACUGCGAGGGAAUUCCCCUAUUUAAUUUUUUAAAAAUUUACUUAUUUGGCUGCAAUGGGUCUUGGUUGCGGCACGCAGGACCUUCAUCCCAGCAUGUGGGAUCUUUUUUUUCGUUGUGGCCUGUGGGCUCUUUAGUUGCGGCAUGUGAACUCUCAGUUGCGCAUGUGGGGUCUAGUUCCCUGACCAGGGAUCAAACCCGGGCCCCCUGCACUGGGAGCGUGGAGUCUUAGCCACUGAACCACCAGGGAAAUCCCUCCCCUCAUAUUUAAAAUGAAGAGAUAUUGUGAUCCUCUACUAAUACACCUCAAGUGUAUGCCUCCUCCCUGGAUAUAAAUGCUUCAGUGGCUCCCCAUUGCCCUCAGAAGGGUCCAACCUCUCAGCACAAGGCAUUCCACCAUUUGGCCCCGUCUGUCCUCAUCUUUCACUACUGACCCUCUCAUGAUCUUCAAGCCAGCCACCAGCAAUUCUUUCUGGUCUUGAAGGCACAGGGCUCCUUGCCUCCAAGGCUCUUGCCUUGGUCUGGAACACGCCACUCUCCCUCAUCACUUAACUCCUGCAGGUCUCCACUGAACACUGUACACUGCAGCUGCUACAGGGUCUGGAGCUUAGCCAGGACUAGGGUCGGAGAUAAAUUCUGGAUUUAGAAAUAUGCAGAUUGUAAUUAAAGCUAUGGGGCCAAAUGAAAUUACCUAGAAAUCGUCUCACUCAGCUAAACGGUCUGCACUUUUUUGAAUGCACACCGUCAGAAAAAUUAAGUAUGUACCCCUCAGUAUACUAUACAGAUAUGCACGUUUAUAAAAUAUACACAAAAAUAGAAAUUUUAAAAGGUGAAAUUAAAAUAUGUAUACCUAUGA